GAUGAACGCUGGCGGCGUGCCUAAUACAUGCAAGUCGAGCGAAUGGAUUAAGAGCUUGCUCUUAUGAAGUUAGCGGCGGACGGGUGAGUAACACGUGGGUAACCUGCCCAUAAGACUGGGAUAACUCCGGGAAACCGGGGCUAAUACCGGAUAACAUUUUGAACCGCAUGGUUCGAAAUUGAAAGGCGGCUUCGGCUGUCAUUUAUGGAUGGACCCGCGCCGCAUUAGCUAGUUGGUGAGGUAACGGCUCACCAAGGCAACGAUGCGUAGCCGACCUGAGAGGGUGAUCGGCCACACUGGGACUGAGACACGGCCCAGACUCCUACGGGAGGCAGCAGUAGGGAAUCUUCCGCAAUGGACGAAAGUCUGACGGAGCAACGCCGCGUGAGUGAUGAAGGCUUUCGGGUCGUAAAACUCUGUUGUUAGGGAAGAACAAGUGCUGGUUGAAUAAGCUGGCACCUUGACGGUACCUAACCAGAAAGCCACGGCUAACUACGUGCCAGCCGCCGCGGUAA
rnacentral:rRNA from 1 species